UUAGCCCAUAUUUUUCUCCAUGGAGCUCAAGGUGGUUCAGUACUUGGUUCUCCCUCACCUUCCUUUUCUCUUCAUAACAAACUUUCGAGGUAGGUUGGGCUGAGAGUGAGUGACUUACCCUAGGCCAUUCUCAUGGCCAAGUGGGGAUUUUAACCCUGGUCUUCCAGGUCCCAGCGUGACACUCUAACCCAGGGGUAGGCACCCUAAGGCCCGUGGGCCGGAUGUAGCCCAAACUGCCUUCUCAAUCCGGUCCAUGGACGGUCCGGGAAUCAGCGUGUUUUUACAUGAGUAGAAUGCGUCCUUUUAUUUAAAAUGCAUCUCUGGGUUAUUUGUGGGGCAUAGGAAUUCAUUCAUCCCCCCCCCCAUAUAGUCCAGCCCACCACAUGGUCUGAGGGAUGGUGGACCGGCCAAUGGCUGAAAAAGGUUGCUGACCCCUGCUCUAACCACUGUGCCACACUGGUCUUGCAAGCAAGUUGCUGUGUGCGUCACAUAUUAUUUCUAGUGGCCAUAUGGACCUGACAGCCACCCGUUGUGGUGAUUCCUUGGCUAGAAAAUGAAGAGUGCUGUUUGAUCAACAAAUGGAUCCAAAAAAGAUCCUCUGGAGUGGACUGUUCAUGGCCACAGUAGUUUACCCCUUGCAGAGCUUCGAUUCACAGCACCCUUAAAAACUCUCCUGCUGAAAAAAAGAGAGAGAAAAGGUAAUCUUUGAUUAUUCCUCCUUUCUGUAGGCUCAUGAAAAGUUGGUCCAGAGAGCUGGACCUUUCACUCACGGAAGCGACAUUUGUUUUGCUGUUUGGGUACGUCGGACGUAUUCUUACUAUCUAUUGACUCAUGUAUUCUUACUAUCUAUUGAGUGAUGACAUGUAUUCAUGCAUGCUCAUCCUCUGUAAGAGGCCUUUAAUACCCCACCCCGGUCAAGCUUCUGAGUAUGAACUUGGUGGGUUGGAUUGUAUCCAACAAAGUCAUCCUAUGAGUGCAAGGAUUCCCCCCUGUGUCGUGGCACUACCUCUCUCCACAUCCUUGCCCCAAUCUGAUCCAAGUCCUAUACCUCUGGAGCAGAUCUGAGGUGGCAGGCGUUGUAUAGAGAGAGGAGAAGAAGUCCCGUAUUGCAGGCGGAAGUCAUGGCACUUGAUACGGAAGGGGGGGGCAUGUCUUCUUCACCUUCUUCUUCGCUACAAUAUAUCCAUUUAUUUCCAAUUGUCAAUGUCAAAAGGGACUAAAAUCUAUAAAAUUCAUAGAAAAUCAACGUGCCAAUUUGCUCAAUUUCUCUAGGACUCCAUGACACCUCCCCUGUCCUCCAUAAUCCCUCAAGCAAGGUGUCAAGACCCUAAUCCUGUCAAAUCACUCUGCCAAGCCUUUCCUCCGGGCAAUGCCAGGUGGCAGACUAUGCAUACAUGGACCAUUGUCUUCGCAUCACCGGUACUCAGGAUGUGCUUAUCUGCGCAUAUCUCCAGCUCUGCAUAUUCCCCCUCCCUCCUCCAUAUGUUAAUCCUGUGUAAC